rnacentral:rRNA from 1 species
AACCUCGAACGAGAAGGUAACGGCAAGGGCCGCCCUAACGGUACGUGCUUCAUGAUUGGGGUG